GACGUUUCAGCCCCCCUCCGUGGCUUUCUUCAGGAUCAAUAAAUAAUAAAAAUGAUUUAUUGAUCCUGAAGAAAGCCACGGAGGGGGGCUGAAACAU